AGGGAGAAAAAGAGGGAGGGAGGAAGAAGCGGGGGCUUGAAAGAAGCUGGAAGGUAUUAUAGACGGCUCGCCUCUUACUCCCUCCCACUCGGCCGGCGAGAGUUCUCCAACAAAGUGAAGGAAACAGAAAACUUAAACCUGCUCUCCCUGCUGCCUCGGCCUUCCAGCUGCCUCCCUCAUUCUCUCCCCCACCGCGGCACGGCUCUCCUGCUCUCGCUCUCCGAGCUGCCUGUAAGAAGAUCACUUUGUUUCCAUUGCCUUUUUCUCCGCUGGUGCAGACACACAUGGAGGAGAGGACUGAAUUUGAGCAGAUAGUGACGGGGGCCUGGUGGUGGGGGUUAGGGGUGCUGCACAGCUGCAAGAGUCCCUCCAUCUCCAUAGCAGGACUAAUACUUCCCUCCCUCUCCUGCUCCAGAGACUCUCCCUCUGUCGCACUCUCUCUGUUUCUGCCUCUCGGAGGGGUGGGGGUGCCUACCGGACGCUAAAAUCACUGAGAGUGGAUCGGAGCCGGACCAGGAGAACCUUUCGUUCCUGGGCUCAGACGUGGGGAUCUGAACGGUGGUGAAACUAACGUUGGCCUACCAACAAACCCCUCUUCCUGCUGGGACCUGUUCAUGGAGUGAAGAAGAGAAGGAGACAAGGAAGGCUUCAGGCUGAUAGCUGAAUGUGUUUCUUUCCCACUCUCAGUCAGUCGAAUGCUUCACCCCACCCUCACAGCUCCUCAUUAGUAUGCGUGGGGUGUCGCCCAGGUGACCGCUGGGUUUGGUCUUAAGUGUAGGAACAUCAGCAGCACAGAGGAGACCAGGACAACAGGUAAGGACAACAAGAACAGGAGGGGGAGAAGGUGGCCUAACACACACACACACACACACACACACACACACACACACACACACACACACACACACACACACACACACACACACACACACACACACACACACACACACACACACACACACCGCUAAGUGUAAUGUGAUUUAUGUUAUGUAAAAUGUUCUGAUGUUCUGUGUAGAUGCAGCAGCUGAUAUUUCUGAGUCAAACUGUAAACACUGACUUUAAUAAAAGCCUUUAAACAAAAGUGUGGUGUGUGGUUGGUCAUUCUAAAGCGACUCUGUAACUAAACACAGAUGAAACAAGAAAUAUCAUCAUUGUUUUCACAUGGGAGAGUUUUAUUCCACCUGAUAUCUGGGAUAUUUGUUUAGUGGCCAAAGGAGGGUGGAGCACACGGAUAAUCAUGCUCCUAGUGUGUGUGUGUGUGUGUUUGUGUGUGUGUGUGUGUGUGUGUGUGUGUGUGUGUGUGUGUGUGUGUGUGUGUGUGUGUGUGUGUGUGUGUGUGUGUGUGUGUGUGUGUGUGUGUGUGUGUGUGUGUGUGCGCGCGCGCUCUGGGGGAGCAGUGCGGCCAGGCUGCAGAUAUCAUCCAUCUCCCUGUCACCAGCCCAGGCACUGCUGGGAAAGAGGCAGACAGCUCCCUGACUCUGGCAACGAAGGCUGCAUCCAAGUUUUUUGCAACACAGAGAGAAAGCUGCACAUCUCCUCCCUCACCACCCAGUACGGAAACCCAUUAACCCCGUGAUCUUGAACAAAGCGUGCAGCUGAGGCCGGGCCGCAGCAGGCCGAGAGGCCUAUCAGUUUGCAUCAUAUGCGAGGCCUGACGGAGCAGCAGCCCGGUGUGUACGCAGCUUUAGGAGGCAUUCAAUGCUGCAGUCAGAGCAGAAGUAAAGGAAGCACACAUCUGAUCAUAUAUCAGACCUGACCAGGAGGUCCAGUUAGAAGCUACACUUUCAAAAUAAAUGUCUGGCAGAAGCAUUUCUAAAUGGAUUACAUGGCUGUGAUUAGCUGUGACAAAGUCUAUUAAGCAGUUUUCACACAAAUCGUUGGCUGCAGUUCACCUUUAAUAAGACUCAGAGUGAGGAUCACUUUUACCCACACGAUGAAAACAGUUUCAAUAAACCUGGUUGAGCUUUAACAUUUAAAAGGGACUUUAAACUCUACUAAAUUUAAAGUCUUGAAAAAAAUCACGCCAAUUAGUUACGUGAAUUACAGCUCAGGUCAAAACUAAAGAAAGUUUCCUAAAAGCAUGAGCAGCUUCUAAUGCUUUAGUUUUAUUUCUUAUUUGAAACAGUUAUUUGAAGCUGUUGUUGAUUUUCUGAUGGACUCAGUAAAGUCUCAGAGCCCGUUCAUGACUUUCACUUAGUUUGGAUUUUGCUUCAAAUGUUGUGGCCCACGAGCAUUCAGAGCAUUAAAACUACACUAAUGCUGAAAACGCACCACCAGCUUGUCCUUAUUAAAGUCAGGAUAAUAAAAAACAGCAGUUCUGUCUGCAGCACCAAUGGAAAGGCCUCUGUUACAUUUUCUAAGUAGCAUUUUAGUGAUCCUCUGGGCCGUAAAUCCAUCCAGCAUGAUGCCUUUCAGUUAGGAUUUGUCCUCCUGAGUCCCACGACUAUAAAAUGACCCGCAGAUAGUCAAAUGAAACAUCCAUCUAAAAAAAUAAAGAACUAGAAGAACUCCACAACCUCAGGCUGUUUCGCCUGAUGUGAGAAAUAAAAAUUGGCAGCAGAGUGCUCUGCUUUCUGUGGUUUACAUUUCUGUGUUUGACCUGCUGUAACACAUAAACUCUGGAACCAGGUCCUGUGAUGACCACGUUGCUGCAGAGGAGCACAUCGGCUUCUCAGAGAGCUUCUUCUGGCUGAUACUUAACACAUACAGACACAAACCAGUGAUCUGCAGAAGAACCACCUGAAGGGUUGCCACAGCUUCCACAAAGAACUGUGUGUAAGGAUGUAUUUAUAAAGCACCAAAUCACAAGAGUUGUCUCAAGCACUUUUCGAAGUAAACAUUCCAGUUGAACCUACUGAUCAGGGCACUGAGUUCAGUUCAUCACACUUAUUAAACGUUUCAAACCCAGCAGAUUGCAUCAUCUAUAAAAAGACAUUACAGCAAUGCCCACGUUAAGCAUGCAUGUAGCGACAGUGAAGAGGAAAACUCCCCUUUAACAGAACCUGGCUCAGCCUGAGCAGCCAUGCGCCGUGACCAACGGGGGGUUUGAGAACAAUGUGCAGAAACAAGAAAAUAACACUUCAUAGUAAUGCUCUGUUACUGAACAUUUAUAAGUGUUUAGAAUGUCAUUAGUAAGUCAUUAACACAUCAUUUGCAAGGUAUUAGAUAAUAGGAAUGUAAGAAAAUAUCCAUAUGGCAAUAUAUCAUGAUAUUCUUUCCUGUGAUAUUACAUUGAUAUUCAAAAGCCGUGUAUUUAUUUUUUGGGAAUAAAUUACAUGCAACCAUAUGUGUAUUUUUUUUUUAUUUUGGUGCAAUUAAAAUGCUGACCACUAGUUGGCAGCAGUGUACAAUGAGUUUUGUUUCUACCAUUUAAAUGUAAAUCCCUGUAUUAUGGUUCAGAUACCUCAUGCUAAACAUGUUACUUAUCAGUUCAGACUGUUUAUUGUAUUUUCCUACAGUAAAUUCAGUCUGAAAAGUUGCUAAUAUCAUCUGACUGAAUGUAUCGCAAUAUAUCAUGAUAUAUCGUAUCACCUCCCCUCUAUCGUGAUGCGUAUCAUAUCGCCAGUUUUUCACCAAUACACAUCCCUAUUAGAUAAUGAUGUACAAAUAUCUUAUAAAGCUUAUGCUAACAUUUACAAGUACAUUUCUAAGUGUUUAGUAAGUCAUUAAUAAAUCAUUUAUAAGGUAUUAGGUAAUUAUACAAUUCUUUUUCAGGGGCUGUGAUGACAUUUACAAAUGUUUUAGCAAUGAUUAUCUAAACAUUUACAAACACUCUUUCCAGAUUUGAUAAUGGUUUAUAGAUUAUGUAAAACUUUCUAAAGUCACAAUCAUAUUUAAUAAUAUGUAAAAUUUUGACGCACCUGUGAUUUAUAAAGGAUUAUCAAAAUGAUCACGAAUACACAGGGACGGAAUUUUGAUUUCAGAAGUGUGUGUGUGGGGGGGGGCACAGCAGGCUUGUGCGCAUCUGGGGUGGGGGUGUUAAGUAAAGUUUUAGACCCCUUGACGCGUCACGUGCCCAAGCUCCCGCCCCCCCCCCCCAGCUUCUGACUUGGGGGCAAGAAGACGGUACAGCCCCGCUGAGCACCAUUGUUAUUAUCUGUCUGUCAGUUGUUAAUAAAUUGAGCUGUAGCGACAAAAUGAAAUCUAUCAGCAUGUUUGACACACGCUGCUCUGUAGGCUGCACAGAUAAAUGAAAGAAGGACUGUAACGGAACAUUUUACAGGUUUCCAGCUGAUAAAAUCACCAAAGUCAGAGUUCUAGUGGAUAAACCACCUACCCACGUCGUGAAAGUUAAAUAUCUGCCCCUCAUGUCCAGACAUGAAUAAGGUAUAGCCAUCUGUUGACUUGUAUGUCUUUCUAACCAGGUAAAUUUUGUUUAUUUUGAUAUAAUUACACAAAAUGUGUUCUGUUAUCGUGAGAGUUCUGUUAUUAUGCAGAGAGAUGGCGGCGCGCACGGACUCAGCGGCUCAUGGCUCCCAGCAACUAGGCACAGUUGUUUGUCUUGUUUUAUCAGCCCACUUCUGCCAUGGAGAUAGCCAGACGAGCCGGAGCUCCGUGGACUGUUGUCGGCUCUGCAAGGCAUCGUAGACGGCGCAGAGACAGGAAACAGAAGCGAGGCUGCCGAGCAGGCCUACUAGCACAACUAAGGAGGAAACCACACCGCCCGCCGCUACCAUCCAUUCUGCUCCUAAAUGCCCAGUCUCAUUCCAACCAAAUGGAUGAUCUGCAAUCACAGCUUGCUUACAACCACACCAUUUGUGAUUGUUGUUUGCUGAUUAUUACAGAACCCUGGCUCCACCCGCACAUUCCAGACGCCAGCGUUGAGCUAACCGGCUAUGUGCUCCAUCGCCUUGAUCGGGAUUAAAGCCAAGACCAGAGGAGGAGGACGCUGUGUUUAUGUGGGCGACGGUGGCACAGGAGUUAAGUGCUCGCCCCGUAAUCGGAAGGUUGCAGGUUCGAGCCCCGCUCAGUCUGUCGCUGUCGUUGUGCCCAUGGGCAAGACACUUAACCCAUGUUGCCUGCUGGUGGUGGUCAGAGGGACCAGUGGCGCCAGUGCUCGGCAGCCUCGCCUCUGUCAGUGCGCCCCAGGGCAGCUGUGGCUACAUCGUAGCUCAUCCCCACCAGUGUGUGAAUGUGCAUGUGAAUGGGUGAAUGACUGAUAGUGUUGUAAAGCGCCUUGGGGGGUUCCAGGACUCUAGAAGGUGCUAUAUCAAAUAAAUGCUAUUUACCAUUUACCAUUUUAUGUGCAUGAAAACCGGUGCCGAAACAGCAGAGUAAUAAAUACCUUUUGCUCAUCAGACUUAGAGGCUCUGUCCGUCCAGUGCAGGCCAUUCUAUCUGCCACGGGAGCUAACGCUAGCCAUUGCUACUGCUGUUUAUAUCCCACCUAAUGCUAACGUUAGCGCUGCAAUCAUCCAGCUUCAUCACUUUUUAACCAAACAGCAGCAGGCUCAUCCAGAUGGAGUACACAUAAUAGCUGGGGACUUUAAUAAAGCAUGCUUAAAGACUGUUUUCCCCUAACUCCACCAACAUGUCAAGUUGGCAACCCGGGGUAAGAAUACACGGGACCGUGUAUAUACCAACAUCAAGCAUGCUUAUAGAGCUACACCCCUUCCCCAUCUUGGACAGUCUCACCAGCUCUCCAUGUUUCUCAUCCCAGCUUACACUCCCCCUCAGGAAACAAACAAAGCCCACAACACACACCAUUACCACGGUACCUGCUGAAGCCCUCCCUCAGCUACAGGACUGCUUUGCCUGCACAGACUGGAGAGUGUUUGAACAACAGGACCUGGAGGCACACACAGAGACGGUGCUAUCCUACACCAGAACCUGUGUAGAAAAGUGGUCACAGUGACCAAACAGAUUUGGAUCUUCCCAAAUAGGAAGCCCUGGAUGACAUCAGAGGUCCAGGCUCUAAUCAGAGCCCGCAAUGUUGCCUUCAAGUCAGGUAACAGCAGCUUGUAUCGCAUAGCCAGAACUAGUCUGAGGAAGGGCAUUCACUAGGCAAAGAGAGUCUACAGGAGGAAAACAGAAGCAACAAUCCCCAGAAGAUGUGGAAGGGGAUUCAGACUCUGACCAACUACAGAGGCAACGCUCUGUCCAACACUGGCAGCAGCUGAACACAGGCAGAGGAGCUAAACAACUUCUUUGCCCAUUUUGAAACCACUGCCCACCCACUUUUACAACCGCCCCACAACGUGAGCACCCCCACUCCUCCCUCUCUCAUGCUCCAGGAGCAUGAGGUCAGAAGAACCUUGAGAGCAGUAAACCCCAAGAAAUAAACCAUUAUCAAAUCUGAAAAGGUUCACAUUUACAUACGAUCAGGGAUUUCCCACAAAGGUUCCAAACCUUCAUAAGUUCACUUUCUUUGACAAACUAAUGAUUUCUGAAAGAGUUUUAGAGUCCCUCGUGUAUUCAAAAGAAAGUGAAAAAUAAAUAACCUGAAACGAGUUUAUAAAUGUCUGGAUUAUUUUUAACAUUUCAACAGUAUUUAAUUUACCUUGAAAACAUUUCAAUGAUCAUUUAAAAAUGUUUAAUCAUUGAUAAAUCACUGGUGCAUCGUAGUCUUAUAUAGAUAACCAAUGACA